rnacentral:rRNA from 1 species
UACAGAGGGUGCGAGCGUUGUCCGGAAUCACUGGGCGUAAAGGGCGCGUAGGCGGCUUGAUAAGGUUGCGGUGAAAGCCCGGGGCUCAACCCCGGGUCGGCCGUGGCAACUGUCGAGCUGGAGCACUGUAGAGGCAGGUGGAAUUCCGGGUGUAGCGGUGGAAUGCGCAGAUAUCAGGAAGAACACCCGUGGCGAAGGCGGCUCUCUGGAACGCAACUGACGCUGAGACGCGAAAGCGUGGGGAGCAAACAGG